AUUGAUACAAGUUUCCUUUUAUCCUUCUGCUCUAGGAAAUAAUAUUCCAGUGAACAUCUUCGGCUACAUUUUGGAUUUUUCCUCAGGUUGCAUUUUUUAAAAUUUUUUUUAGUUGUAGAUGGACACAAUGCCUUUAUUUAUUUUUGUGUGGUACUGGGGAUUGAACCCAGUGCCUCACAUGUGCUAGGCAGGUGCUCUACCACUGAGCCACAACCCCAGCCUCCCCAGGAUACAUUUUCAGGCUUGGAAUUCUAUGACAAAUAAUCAAACAGUUUUAGGUCUUAAAGAAAUAAAUUGGCUAACAUGUUCAAAUGAAUUUACAAAAAAGAAUCAUAAAAUACAGGAGAAAAACUAAAAGUAAACAAUCAGCUCCUAAUAUAUAGGUUGUUUCCUAAAAUUAGAAUUUUCACUUUAGGAUAAUUGUAGAUUCACAUAUAUUGGUAGGAAAUAAUACAUAGAGAUCCUGUUGCCCCUCACUCCAUUUCUGCAGUGGUAAUGUCUUAAAAUCAUAAGACAGAGCCACAGCCAGUGCAUCUCGGUGCUGCAAUCAAGAUGCAGAGCAUUCCUGUCACAUUGCUGUCAUGACUACACAUCUGCCCUAGCCCCUAUUCCAGAUCCCAGGCAAUCAAUA
rnacentral:lncRNA from 1 species